rnacentral:rRNA from 1 species
UGGGGAAUUUUGGGCAAUGGGCGAAAGCCUGAUCCAGCAAUGCCGCGUGUGUGAAGAAGGCCUUCGGGUUGUAAAGCACUUUUGUCCGGAAAGAAAUCCUUGGCUCUAAUACAGUCGGGGGAUGACGGUACCGGAAGAAUAAGCACCGGCUAACUACGUGCCAGCAGCCGCGGUAAUACGUAGGGUGCAAGCGUUAAUCGGAAUUACUGGGCGUAAAGCGUGCGCAGGCGGUUUGCUAAGACCGAUGUGAAAUCCCCGGGCUCAACCUGGGAACUGCAUUGGUGACUGGCAGGCUAGAGUAUGGCAGAGGGGGGUAGAAUUCCACGUGUAGCAGUGAAAUGCGUAGAGAUGUGGAGGAAUACCGAUGGCGAAGGCAGCCCCCUGGGCCAAUACUGACGCUCAUGCACGAAAGCGUGGGGAGCAAACAGGAUUAGAUACCCUGGUAGUCCACGCCCUAAACGAUGUCAACUAGUUGUUGGGGAUUCAUUUCCUUAGUAACGUAGCUAACGCGUGAAGUUGACCGCCUGGGGAGUACGGUCGCAAGAUUAAAACUUAAAUGAAUUGACGGGGUCAUAGCUGUUUCCU